rnacentral:lncRNA from 1 species
AUGCAAUCCAAGUUAUGGAAAGCUCCUGCAAUUGUUGGCAUUAAAAAAAGUCCAACCACUAAAAAGGAAGCAUCAACAUCUACAGCUAAUCUUGUGAAAAUACAAGAUAUAAUGGAAAUUAUCAAAAAGGAUAUCAUUUAUACUAUUUAAUGGCCAGCCAAAACAGGUACAUUGUGCUACUAGCCACCUAUGUUUAGUGAUGCAAUUGUUUUUAAUUUACUUCAGAAAUUAGCUACAUGACAAAGGGUUAUUAGAUACUCUAACAAAAUGAUUUGAGAAUGACAAUGAUCAAUGUGGAAGCUAUUUAGUUACUAGCUCAGAAUAUCUUUUUUUGUGGUUUCCUUUCUUUAUCUUAAAAUACUGCAAUUCGGUUGUAACUUUUCUAAAGCCAUAAAUAUUUGUUUCCUUGAUUUUCUAAAGCUAUUAGUCCCAUAUUUUAGGAUGUUACUACAAUUAUGAUAAAUUUGAGAGUUAGUGAAUAAUAGUGUUGGAAGUUCUCUUUUCUUAAGUCACUUGGGAAAAUUGAAGUUGUUAUCGUACUUGCAAUUCCUUAGGUGUUGUUUUAAAUGCACUAUAUGCACUAUAAAUUUGGUGAUUAAUGAAUAUUAUACUAGGAUGCAUACGGAUUUUUUUAUUAAUAGUCUGGCAUGUAACAGUGAUAUAUAGACAGAGGCAUAGCUUUGUUGGGGUGCCCCGACUCUCGCCGAUUUUUUUCUCAUAGGCGUGCGUCUCGGUUGCUCUUUUUAAAAUGAGAUGAAGUGCCUGAGGAAAAAAGUUGUCUUAAAUUGGAGAAUUGUGAAGAAAAAAUCAAUGUGGUUACACGAGCAUGAAAUGAGCUUAUUCUCUUCUAUGAUGAGGUUUGUUAUGCAU